AAUAAAGUUUUCUUUAUUGGGGUUGCGGACAUAUCAUAACGAAGAGGUAUCGUAAUUGAAGAGGUUUGGAAAGACCCACCACAGAAGGUAAUAGUCCUGUAUGUUAAACGAGAAGACUUUAGAUAUGAUCCAGAGUACCACGGGACACGUGAAACCCUGUGGGAAGCAGGAGGGACCACCCUCCAAGGCUAAAUACUACCUAGUGACCGAUAGCGUAUAGUACCGUGAGGGAAAGGUGAAAAGAACCACGGGAGGGGAGUGAAAUAGAACCUGAAACCCUGCACUUACAAGCUGUGGAAGCACAUUUCUUGUGUGACCGCGUACUUUUUGUAGAACGGGCCAACGAGUUACGUUAAGUAGCAAGGUUAAGCACUUAAGGUGCGGAGCCGUAGCGAAAGCGAGUUUUAACUGAGCGUUCAGUUACUUGACGUAGACCCGAAACCGGGCGACCUACCCAUGAGCAGGAUGAAGCGAAAGUAAAAUUUCGUGGAGGUCCGAACCCACGAGCGUUGAAAAGCUCGGGGAUGACUUGUGGGUAGCGGUGAAAUUCCAAUCGAGCCCGGAGAUAGCUGGUUCUCCCCGAAAUAGCUUUAGGGCUAGCCUCAAGGUGAGAGAUACGGAGGUAGAGCACUGAAUGUCCUAGGGGGUAUUGCACCUA
rnacentral:rRNA from 1 species